rnacentral:rRNA from 1 species
AAUGAACGUUGGCGGCGUGGAUUAGGCAUGCAAGUCGAGCGAGAAGGCCUCCCACCCUUGCCCUCCCUUUUGUGGGGAGGGUGGGGUGGGGGCCGGACAGCGGCGAACGGGAGAGUAACGCGUGGAGUACCUACCCUUGGAUCUGGGAUAGCCGCGGGAAACUGCGGGUAAUACCGGAUAACGUCUCCGGACCAAAGGUGUGAUUCCGUCUGAGGAUGGCUCCGCGUCCUAUUAGCUUGUUGGUGGGGUAACGGCCUACCAAGGCAACGAUGGGUACCGGGUGUGAGAGCAUGACCCGGCUCACUGGGACUGAGACACUGCCCAGACACCUACGGGUGGCAG